AAAUCCCAAUAUUUAUUACCCAACUUCACUACCUUUCAAGACAUUUAAGAACUAGUUCAGGUAUAGUUAAGUCUUCCAUUUUCAGCUCUAUUUUUCCCAGCACUCAAAACAGAAUAAGCAUUCAAUAUAAACAACAAACCACUCCCAAUUCCUCAAUGAGAACCCCCUAAAAUGCGCCCACACACCAAACAAGAAAAAAAGCUUUAUGAAUUCUGAUACAUAUAUGCCCGAUAUUGUGUAUAUAUGAAAUAUUAUUGUAUGGGUGCAUAAAGCUACUCAACCUCACGGGCAGGUUCAAGAAAUUUUAUCAUGCAACAGCUGACAAAUUGAAGUGGCCAAGAAAUUUGGCCAAUACGCUAGCUACAGCGACAGCUUGUCGCCCAACCAAGAAAAAAAAGCAAAUGUAGUUCACAGCAAGCAGCUGUUGGCGACAAAAUUAAAGAGACACACAAACACACAUUAGAGAUGUAUUUGUGUUUGUAGUUGAAUAAGAGCAUUCAUACAUAUAUGAAUAGUUUGAGAUCUUGUGAUAUUUCGCACAGAAGACUAAAAAAAAGUAGUUUACCAUUUCUGUUCGCACGCGCCUUGUUUAUAAACAACAAUACAAAAAAAUAUUGAGAGAGAGAAAUGAAAUAUAUAAAGAAAAAAAAAUAGAGAAAAAAUCAACCGACGCGUUUGAC